AACGAACGCUGGCGGCAUGCCUAACACAUGCAAGUCGAACGAGACCUUCGGGUCUAGUGGCGCACGGGUGCGUAACGCGUGGGAACCUGCCUUUAGGUUCGGAAUAACUCAGAGAAAUUUGAGCUAAUACCGGAUGAUGUCUUCGGACCAAAGAUUUAUCGCCUUUAGAUGGGCCCGCGUUGGAUUAGCUAGUUGGUGGGGUAAAGGCCUACCAAGGCGAAGAUCCAUAGCUGGUCUGAGAGGAUGAUCAGCCACACUGGGAAUGAGACACGGCCCCGACUCCUACGGGAGGCAGCAGGGGGGAAUAUUGGACAAUGGGCGAAAGGCUGAUCCAGCAAUGCCGCGGGAGUGAUGAAGGCCUUAGGGUUGGAAAGCUCUUUUAACCGAGAUGAUAAUGACCGUAUCGGGAGAAUAAGCCCCGGCUAACUCCGUG
rnacentral:rRNA from 1 species